UGGCUCAGAGGUUAAAGCGUCUGCCUCCAGUGCAGGAGACCUGGGUUCAAUCCCUG
rnacentral:tRNA from 1 species